UACGGUGAAUACGUUCCCGGACCUUGUACACACCGCCCGUCAAGCCAUGGAAGCCGGGUGUACCUAAAGUCGGUAACCGCAAGGAGCCGCCUAGGGUAAAACUGGUGACUGGGGCUAAGUCGUAACAAAGGUACC
rnacentral:rRNA from 1 species